rnacentral:misc_RNA from 1 species
UUUCCGUAGGUGAACCUGCGGAAGGAUCAUUAUCGUAAAACCGAGGUGCGAGGGCUGUCGCUGACCUUUUCGGUCGUGCACGCCCGAGCGCUCUCACACAAUCCAUCUCACCCCUUGUGCACCACCGCGUGGGUCCCUUUCUGGCUCGCCCGGAGGGGGGCUCGCGUUUUCACACAAACUUGAAGUAGUGUAGAAUGUCCUUUUUUUGCGAUAACACGCAAUCAAUACAACUUUCAACAACGGAUCUCUUGGCUCUC